UAWWWKGGARGCGGGCUGGACCUCUCGGGGUUACAGCCUUGCUGAAUUAUUCACCCUUGUCUUUUGCGUACUUCUUGUUUCCUUGGUGGGUUCGCCCACCACUAGGACAAACAUAAACCUUUUGUAAUUGCAAUCAGCGUCAGUAACAAAUUAAUAAUUACAACUUUCAACAACGGAUCUCUUGGUUCUGGCAUCGAUGAAGAACGCAGCGAAAUGCGAUAAGUAGUGUGAAUUGCAGAAUUCAGUGAAUCAUCGAAUCUUUGAACGCACAUUGCGCCCUUUGGUAUUCCAAAGGGCAUGCCUGUUCGAGCGUCAUUUGUACCCUCAAGCUUUGCUUGGUGUUGGGCGUCUUGUCUCUAGCUUUGCUGGAGACUCGCCUUAAAGUAAUUGGCAGCCGGCCUACUGGUUUCGGAGCGCAGCACAAGUCGCACUCUCUAUCAGCAAAGGUCUAGCAUCCAUUAAGCCUUUUUUUCAACUUUUGACCUCGGAUCAGGUAGGGAUACCCGCUGAACUUAAGCAUAUCAAUAAGCGGAGGAACAAACAAA
rnacentral:rRNA from 1 species